GUUGUCCUUAGUGCUUUGUUAGGGGGUUGAGGGGGUGAUGGAGGCUACAGCUCUUGGGGAAAAGCUGUUCCUCAGUCUUGUGGUGCGGGCCCGCAGUGUGCGGUACCUCUUCCCUGAUGGGAGGGGGACAAACAAGGUGUCUCCAGGGUGAGUUUAUCAGUGCUGAUUGACCUUGCCUUCCUCUUCAGGCGGUCACCACACACAGAGUCCCGGUCUGGGAGCUCAGCUCCUAUGAUCUUUACUGCUGACCUAACCACCCUGGCCAAGUCCCUCCUGCUCUCCGCUGUGCAGCCUGCAUACCACACACUGCAGCCCUGGCAGAGGAUGCUCUCAGUUGUGCUCCUAUCAAAGUGAAUGAGCAGAAAAGGGAAACAAUGGACCUGAAUCUUGAGCUCAUUGAAACUACACCACUAAUGUCCAGUGAAUCUCCUGCACCAACCGGGGACCAACAAGAACACACUUCAAGAACAACUACCCCUGAUGUAACUAUGGAUGGUCAUGAUGAUGACCAGAGUCUGGAUGCCCUCGCCUACCGGUCUGGUACUGGACA